rnacentral:rRNA from 1 species
AUUGAACGCUGGCGGCAGGCUUAACACAUGCAAGUCGAGCGAGCGGCGGACGGGUGAGUAAUGUCUGGGAAACUGCCUGAUGGAGGGGGAUAACUACUGGAAACGGUAGCUACUAUAGCAUACCAUCCAUUGUGCCCUGAUGGGAUUAGCUAGGAGGUGGGGUAAUGGCUCACCUAGGCGACGAUCCCUAGCUGUUCUGAGAGGAUGACCAGCCACACUGGAACUGUGACACGGUCCAGACUCCUACGAGAGGCAGCAGUAGGGAAUAUGGCACAAUGGGCGCAAGCCUGAUGCAGCCAUGCCGCGUGAGUGAAGAAGGCCUUCGGGUUGUAAAGCACUUUCAGCGAGGAAGCGUUACUCGCAGACGAAGCACCGGCUAACUCCGUGCCAGCCGCCGCGGUAAUAC